AAUCAGGGAAGUCCUGCAGACGCACUAUUGGCUUAUUGUAACUUCUCAGAGCCAAGAGCAAAAACUUGUCUACACCCAAGAACUGCACAGCUACCUAUGAGAGCAUGGCUGAAAGAUUCUGUGACAAAUACUGCUUUUUACUGGCUCAGUUCCCUUGAGAGUGGUUUUCAGUUUGAAUACACUGGACUGUCAGUGGUACAGGUGCGUUUCCUGAGACUCCAAAGCAGCCUGGCAGAGCAGAGAGUCACCUACUCCUGCUAC